rnacentral:rRNA from 1 species
AGUGGAUGGGGAGCAACCUAGUUGUGCGUGUGUAAAGGUAGUGCCAAGAAAAGCGAUGAUCAUGUUGAAAAUCAAUUCCCGGUACCCGAAACCGACACAGGUGGGCAAGUAGAGAAUACUAAGGGGCGCGAGGUAACUCUCUCCAAGGAACUCGGCAAAAUGACCCCGUAACUUAGGGAGAAGGGGUGCCACCGAGAGGUGGUCGCAGUGAAGAGGCCCAGGCGACUGUUUAGCAAAAACAUAGGUCUCUGCAAACUCGAAAGAGGAGGUAUAGGGGCUGACGCCUGCCCAGUGCCGGAAGGUUAAAGAAGUUGGUCAGUCUUAGGAUGAAGCUAGCGACUGAAGCCCCGGUGAACGGCGGCCGUAACUAUAACGGUCCUAAGGUAGCGAAAUUCCUUGUCGGGUAAGUUCCGACCCGCACGAAAGGCGUAACGAUCUGGGCGCUGUCUCGGAGAGAGGCUCGGCGAAAUAGGAUUGUCUGUGAAGAUACGGACUACCUGCAUUUGGACAGAAAGACCCUAUGAAGCUUUACUAUAGCUUGGAAUUGUGUUCGGGCUUCCUGUGCGCAGGAUAGGUGGGAGGCGUAGAAGGUAUUCUUGUGGGGAUACUGGAGCCAACGGUGAGAUACCACUCUCAGGAGGCUAGAAUUCUAACUUAAUUAAGGACAGUUUCAGGUGGGUAGUUUGACUGGGGCGGUCGCCUCCAAAAAGGUAACGGAGGCGUACAAAGGUUCCCUCAGACUGGUUGGAAAUCAGUCGAAGAGAGCAAAGGCAGAAGGGAGCUUGACUGCGAGAAGUACAGUUCGAGCAGGGUGGAAACACGGUCUUAGUGAUCCGACGGUGCUGUGUGGAAGGGCCGUCGCUCAACGGAUAAAAGUUACUCUAGGAUAACAGGCUGAUCUCCCCCAAGAGUUCACAUCGACGGGGAGGUUUGGCACCUCGAUGUCGGCUCAUCGCAACCUGGGGCGGAAGUACGUCCCAAGGGUUGGGCUGUUCGCCCAUUAAAGCGGUACGUGAGCUGGGUUCAGAACGUCGUGAGACAGUUCGGUCCAUAUCCGAUGUAGGCGUGAGAAUAUUGAGAGGAGCCUUCCUUAGUACGAGAGGACCGGGAAGGACGCACCGCUGGUGUACCUGUUAUGAUGCCAAUUGUAAACGCAGGGUAGCCAAGUGCGGAGAGGAUAACCGCUGAAAGCAUCUAAGUGGGAAGCCCACCUCAAGAUGAGUAUUCUGGUGUAAGGUCACGGGAAGACGACCCGUAAAUAGGCACGAGGUGGAAGUGCAGAGAUGUAUGAAGCCGAAGUGUACUAAUAGACCGUCGGCUUGAC